CUUUUCUAACCCCUUUAAGAGGAUGCUCUCAAUCCAUCAACUUUCUGAAACACUUCUUCUUCAAUUCCUGUCAUUUUGGUGGCAGCAGAAGACGCUGUGAAGGAUGCACAAAAAUUGCAAGAGCAAGGAGCAAAGUCUGGAUGCUCCAUUCUUUGGCUGAGUCUCAUUGCCUCCUCAGACUUCAGGAGUCUCUACUGAACUCCAUGCGCCCAAAGCAAUGAGUGUUGAAGGCUUUGAUUGCUGAUCAUUGGAGAUCUUUCCGGAUUUUAUCUUUGCCAUUUGUAAGAAGAAGGUGCAGAAAGUUUCAAAGUACUCAACUGACCCCAAAUAGAGAACAAUCUUCUUGUAGAAGACCCAAGGAGGAUGAGACUGAAUUUCACAAUUGUCAGGAAUUUAUUUUAGUGAUGUUGAACUAAGUGGUAAGAG
rnacentral:lncRNA from 1 species